rnacentral:rRNA from 1 species
UGCCAGCAGCCGCGGUAAUACGGAGGGAUCUAGCGUUAUUCGGAAUUACUGGGCGUAAAGCGAGCGUAGGCUGAUUUGCAAGUUGGAUGUGAAAUCCCAGAGCUUAACUCUGGAACUGCAUCCAAAACUACAUAUCUUGAGUUUGGUAGAGGAGAGUGGAAUUCCUAGUGUAGAGGUGAAAUUCGUAGGUAUUAGGAGGAACACCAGUGGCGAAGGCGACUCUUUGGGCCAACACUGACGCUGAGGUUCGAAAGCGUGGGUAGCGAACAGGAUUAGAUA